GGGCGGAGGAUCCCGGCGGCAGGCUUAGGGCCCAGGGUGUCAGCCCCUCGGUGCUUCCUCCUUAGGCGUGAUCGUUUGUCGUUUCAACAGCUCUUUGGCCCGGCUAGACUACAGUCUCAUCCCUGCGCAUUUCCAUCAGUCACUUUUCCCCUUUUUAUUUGUACUGCGGACACGUCGCAAAACCCCCCUCAACCUCAUUGGUAAAAGUGGUACCUCUCUUCCUGAAAGUGCUCUAUAAGCAUAGACAUGGGUUAUUGCUAUUUCUCUUCAAUAGAGCCGUUCAGUUUGUCUGUUUGGUUUUCAACAGUUUCUCCGUGUAACUGUGGCUGUCCCCGAACAAGCUCUGUAGACCGGGUUAGCCUAGAACGCAGAGAUUCGCCUGCCUCUGCCUCCCAAGUAUUGGGAUUAAAGAGCGCUGCUGGGAGAAAGAAGUGAGAUGACCCAUGUGAUGGAUGUCUCCAGCAAUCAGUCCUAAGGGAGAUCAAUGUUAACAACAUUGUACUCAUGAAUAUUAUUAACAGUGUGACCAAGAAGACAAAAAAAAAAAAAUUUAAUGAGGACACCUGGGAGCACCCAGCAAGCCUACCUCCCAGCAGGACGCCUAGUAAGGGGAUGACCGUGAAGGAUCGAUCAUGCUUGUGCCCUUUGUCCUCAUUCCAAAGUCUGGACUCCAGCCAGACUUGAAACUCCGGACUCUAAGGAUCAAAGCUGCUCUAUUAGAGCCAUGUUUGAUUCCUUCAGCCCAGGUCAACUUCCUGAGACCAACAGCUUUCAAACAAUGAGCCUGAGGGCUGGAAAAUCUCAGAGCGAUGAAUAGGAGCUUCAGCCCUAUUACCACCUACUGUCCCUGCAGGACGAUGGAGCCUCCUUCAGCCUGCUUUCUCCAUUUGUUUUUCCCACCGAGUGUUGCCUUAUCAAGUACUGAACAUUCAGUGAGGGCCUGAUUUAGAAGGAGCGGGCGAAGCAAGUUGUCUGAGACGUGCAAGAAGUGGCUGCCAUUCAGCCCCCGGGACUCCCUGUAAAGACACCACAUGUCGUUGCCUGUGGAACCCUCUCUCACACUCCUCACCAAAUGUUCAGCUUUGCGCUGGCUGGGGAGAAAACGUCUGCCACCGAGUGGGAGGAAGGGAAUGAGCCAGGCUGGUGCUCAACGUCUCUGAGCUUCGAAGUGAAGGAGCUGUGCUUCCCUAGGAGAUGAAGCUCAUGAUCCAGCCCUCAAAAUGUGUUGUCAUUCAAGAUGACCGACGUUGAGCUGGUACUACAAGAAGUGUACGAAGGAAAGCUUCCUACAGACUCCCCUGGCCUCAGACCCUGGCUUUAGUGAGCCGCAGUAGUGCAUGCCUUUAAUCCUAGCAUUCAGGAGGCAGAGGCAGGUAGGUCUGUGACCUGCCGAUCUACAUAGGGAGUUCCAGGCCAUCCAAGACUUCAUACAGCAACCUUGUCUCAAAAAUACUAAAUCAGGGCUGGAGAGAUGGCUCAGAGGUUGAGAGCACUGGCUGCUCUUUCAGAAGUCCUGAGUUCAAGUCUCAGUGACAACCAUCUAUGGUGGGCUCUAGUGCCCUCUUCUGGCUUGCAGACAUACAUGCAAGCAGAACACUGUAUACAUAAUAAAUAAAUAAAUCUUUUAAAAAAAUACCAAUCAGGGGCU